GAAUCUGCCCUCAGGAGGGGGACAACAGCUGGAAACGGCUGCUAAUACCCCAUAUGCCGCGAGGUGAAAUGAAUUUCGCCUGAGGAUGAGCUCGCGUCUGAUUAGCUAGUUGGUGUAGGUAAUGGCUCACCAAGGCAUCGAUCAGUAGCUGGUCUGAGAGGAUGAUCAGCCACACUGGGACUGAGACACGGCCCAGACUCCUACGGGAGGCAGCAGUGGGGAAUUUUCCGCAAUGGGCGAAAGCCUGACGGAGCAACGCCGCGUGAGGGAUGAAGGCCUCUGGGCUGUAAACCUCUUUUAUCAAGGAAGAAGAUCUGACGGUACUUGAUGAAUAAGCCACGGCUAAUUCCGUGCCAGCAGCCGCGGUAAUACGGGAGUGGCAAGCGUUAUCCGGAAUUAUUGGGCGUAAAGCGUCCGCAGGCGGCCCUUCAAGUCUGCUGUUAAAACGUGGAGCUUAACUCCAUCAUGGCAGUGGAAACUGUUGGGCUUGAGUGUGGUAGGGGCAGAGGGAAUUCCCGGUGUAGCGGUGAAAUGCGUAGAUAUCGGGAAGAACACCAGUGGCGAAGGCGCUCUGCUGGGCCAUUACUGACGCUCAUGGACGAAAGCCAGGGGAGCGAAAGGGAUUAGAUACCCCUGUAGUCCUGGCCGUAAACGAUGAACACUAGGUGUCGGGGGAAUCGACCCCUUCGGUGUCGUAGCUAACGCGUUAAGUGUUCCGCCUGGGGAGUACGCACGCAAGUGUGAAACUCAAAGGAAUUGACGGGGGCCCGCACAAGCGGUGGAGUAUGUGGUUUAAUUCGAUGCAACGCGAAGAACCUUACCAGGGUUUGACAUCCUGCGAACCUCUUAGAAAUUUGAGGGUGCCUUCGGGAAUGCAGUGACAGGUGGUGCAUGGCUGUUGUCAGCUCGUGUCGUGAGAUGUUGGGUUAAGUCCCGCAACGAGCGCAACCCACGUUUUUAGUUGCCAGCAUUUAGUUGGGCACUCUAGAAAGACCGCCGGUGAUAAACCGGAGGAAGGUGUGGAUGACGUCAAGUCAUCAUGCCCCUUACACCCUGGGCUACACACGUACUACAAUGCUACGGACAAAGGGCAGCAAACUCGCGAGAGCUAGCAAAUCCCAUAAACCGUGGCUCAGUUCAGAUCGUAG
rnacentral:rRNA from 1 species